CAGUCGCCGCGGUAAUACGAAGGGUGCAAGCGUUACUCGGAAUUACUGGGCGUAAAGCGCACGUAGGCUGAUAUUUAAGUCAGGGGUGAAAUCCCGCAGCUCAACUGCGGAACUGCCUUUGAUACUGGGUAUCUUGAGUAUGGAAGAGGUUAGUGGAAUUGCGAGUGUAGAGGUGAAAUUCGUAGAUAUUCGCAGGAACACCAGUGGCGAAGGCGGCUAACUGGUCCAUAACUGACGCUGAGGUGCGAAAGCGUGGGGAGCAAACAGGAUUAGAUACCCCUGUAGUCCCUGUCUCUUAUAC
rnacentral:rRNA from 1 species